rnacentral:rRNA from 1 species
CACGUAGGGGGCAAGCGUUGUCCGGAUUCAUUGGGCGUAAAGAGCUCGUAGGCGGUCUGUCGCGUCGAAUGUGAAAGCCCAGGGCUCAACUCUGGGUCUGCAUUCGAUACGGGCAGACUAGAGUAUGGCAGGGGAGACUGGAAUUCCUGGUGUAGCGGUGAAAUGCGCAGAUAUCAGGGAGGAACACCGGUGGCGAAGGCGGGUCUCUGGGCCAAAACUGACGCUGAGGAGCGAAAGCGUGGGGAGCGAACAGG